rnacentral:rRNA from 1 species
ACAUGCCUACACCAUAGCAUUAAUGCAUCGGAUCUCAUUAUAACUCCAUAGUUAAGCAUGCUCAGGCUAUAUUAGUACUAGGAUGGGUGAUCACCUGGGAAGUACUAGUGUUUUACAUGGA